rnacentral:rRNA from 1 species
CCUACGGGUGGCAGCAGUGGGGAAUAUUGGACAAUGGGCGAAAGCCUGAUCCAGCCAUGCCGCGUGUGUGAAGAAGGCCUUCGGGUUGUAAAGCACUUUCAGUGGGGAAGAAAGCCUUGGGGCUAAUACCCUCGAGGAAGGACAUCACCCACAGAAGAAGCACCGGCUAACUCCGUGCCAGCAGCCGCGGUAAUACGGAGGGUGCGAGCGUUAAUCGGAAUUACUGGGCGUAAAGCGCGCGUAGGCGGUCUGAUAAGCCGGUUGUGAAAGCCCCGGGCUCAACCUGGGAACGGCAUCCGGAACUGUCAGGCUAGAGUGCAGGAGAGGAAGGUAGAAUUCCCGGUGUAGCGGUGAAAUGCGUAGAGAUCGGGAGGAAUACCAGUGGCGAAGGCGGCCUUCUGGACUGACACUGACGCUGAGGUGCGAAAGCAUGGGUAGCAAACAGGAUUAGAUACCCCGGUAGUC